CGGCACCAACCUCAUCGCGAACCACAAUUCGAUCCCCUCUCAUGAAAGAACUCCCCCGCGAACACAGCCACAUCCAAGUUGCAUUUUCACAAAUCCGGUUGGAGGAGGGUGCCAUUUCGGACAGUAAAAUGCGGGUUGGGACUACUCCUUUCCUGAACCAGGGUUUCGUUCCAUGUUUCGAAGUCAUCGAAAAACGGCCUGACAAUCGAUUCAGCUGCAGCUGGCGACGCCUAAACCCUUACACCUCUCUGACGGACUAUGAUGAUAUUGAAAUUUACUAUAGUGGCGGCGAAAUAAGAGGAAAAUGAUAGUGGCGGUGUAACACCAAUGUUCCAAGUCAUCCAUUUGAAAACUGAUUAUAUUUCACCAAAAGUACAAAAUGUCCAUAGUCGACCAUUCUUGACUAAUAGAAGGAAAAGCAUUGAUUAAGGAUGAAGGAGAAAACAGAGCUCAUAAAUAAAAGUAAAACAUACAAUCACUUUCUCAUAUAUGCAUGGUUGGUAACAAAAUGACAAAUUAAAGUAUGCAAACUAUAUAAAGUCAUAUCUAUAACAUGGCAGCCGCAAUCAGAGAGACCUCCCAAAUUCAAUCGACAUACUAUUAUGUGCAAAACAACCUUUUAACUCAUAAUAGAAUCUCAUAACCCAUGGCCAUGGUGGGAGUAAACCAAUACCAGUAGGCUAUUAAUUAAUACCAAAAAUCAGUAAUUAAUAUGUCGUUUGGAUUAAGUAUUUGGAAGUGAUAUUUUGGCUCAAAUGUCAUAUUAGGUGUUUGAACUAGAAUUGAUGGUAUUUUGACAUAAGACGUUUGAAAUAGUGGGUUUUGGUGGUAUUUGAAAUAUUUUGGUUGGAAAAUUGUACGAUAAAUGGCUGGGGGUGGGGCGUCCGGUUUUCUCUCAAUUCUCUCUUAGUGAAUUUCAGAGUUUUCGGAAAGUCCCCUGUCGGAGGAGCUUCCUCUAUGGGUGCGCUCCUCUGAAACUCCCAUGGUGGGUGUGCUUUGCCGGCUGAUUUUUGAAAUUCCCGGGUUCCUUGCUUUUUUGAUUGAUUCUGAGAUUUAUGUUUUUGAUGUUCGAUUUACCUCCUGUCGAUUCCGCCGCUCCUCCUCCACCUCCUUCAUCCUCCCAACCAAAAACCUGGGCCUCCCUUGUGUCUCGUUUGGGUUUGAAGUUCAUUGAGCUCACAUAUGACUGUUUUAUUGUCAGAGCCUUGAAAAUUCCGAAAGAAGUGCUGGAUCAUGAAUUACAGCGUAUGAAGGCUGUUCUUGUGGCUCAGUUUCUGGGUCAAAUCCCGCUGAUGAGGGUUGUUGCAUCCAUGGCCAACCGGUUAUGGGGUUAUGAAGGAAAUAAAUUGGCUUCCAUCAACUAAUCCAAUAAGUUUGUAAACAAAUAUAUGAUAAGAGAAAGAAUCACAUUUAAAUGUAUGUCUUUUUAGUUAAAUCCAUCAACAGAAAACAAACCUACAAAUUUUAUAUACUAAAAUAUGAAUCCCUCGUAGAAUAUAAUAUCCCCAGUGAAAUAAUUGUAGUAUAUACACAUGCAUACAAUGAAUUACACAUGGAAUGGCUCCUCUAUUGGGAUGGAGUUGGUAUAUAUUUGUAUGACAUCGUUACUUCCAUGAUUCCAUCUCUCAUUCAUUAUUAACGGCUCCGAAUCUGGGGCCCAUAAUCAGCGCUGUGCCGAUAGACCCAACCAUCAUCUAACGGUUGAAAAUAUAAGAGCAAAAAAGUAAUCGUUCAUUUUUCAGAACCCUAGUUGAUGUCUUCCUUUUUUUCCCUAACUUUUUUUAUUUAAGGCGGUGUCGCGUACAUACAUCAUGUAGUGAAUUCUCAUUGGCUGUUUUUUAAUUAAAAAACAUGAUGAGUAAACACCCAACUUUGUCAAGGAAUGCAAAUAGGUAUAAAAAAUGGUCAAAACCCACGUAAUAAGGUUUCGACCAGCUUUUUUGCCCCGAUGUCAAAUUGAGUUGAUUAUUUCAAACUCGUAAAAAUGUGUAUACACUUUGUACAAGCUCAUAUCACACUCAUACACACACCUAUGCACACACCCAUGUAAAUACCCACACUCGAUAUAAACUCGUACAUAUGUGUAUACACUUUGUACAAGCUCAUACAAAUACCAAUACAAUAAUACACACACUCAUACAAACUCUCAUACAAAUAUUCAUACACUAUGUACAAAAUCGUACAACGGCGGAUACACACCUAUAGAAACUCAUACAAGUUGUACGAACGGUCGUUAAGAAUUUUUUUCCAAAAAUGUAGAGCCGACGAUGGUAAUCACGUGGGUGAAAACCUUUUCGUCAAUGGAGGUCGGAGUCUCCGAAAUAUUUUUUUUGAAACGGUGCCAAUCGAGAAACUUCAAAUGACCGAAGAUGGUGAUCCGGCAAUCAAAAGCGGGUGGUCAGUGACUGGUGAUGGGAUCAGUAACUGGCCAUGGUCCAACAAAAUCAUUUAAAUACCAUAUGUCCGGAUUGCCUCUAAUUAAUCUAAACUCGUAGAUUUGAUGAUUCAAAACUCAAUCAACGAUCCAGAUUUAUGUUGGAACAGUGCCAAUAAAAACUACUUAUUGGCACAAGAAUUGGACUCCAUUAUAAACUAAUUUGUGAGCAGCUACACAGAAAAGAAAGGUUUGACGAGAAGUCAAGAAACAACAAUUCAUCAUUCUUUAUAUCUUCCCAGCAUGAAUAAACAGAAUAUUGGCACGAGGGCAAAUUUUAUAUUUAUAAACAAAGAGAUGGCAGCAGCAAUUUGAGUCACAGACUGGAGUAGUAGUGUUCAACGAAACUCUUCUCUCUUCCUUGAUAACACCUUCCUAAGUUAGCUAUAAAACAAGUCCAAACUCAUUCUCAGAAUCUCAAACCACACUUAAUUAGCACCAACUUCUCUCUGUGUUUCAUCAUAAUUGUAUAAUGACUUCUUCCGUUUUGAGAUCAGCUUUCCUUCCUAAUUUGAUCCAUUCUGAAGAUGCUCAAUCUUUCUCAAGCUUCCCUCCAAAACCCACCUCAGCCACUCUCCGACCCAGAAAGGUAACCACCAUAUUCAGUUGAGUCAUUUGGAUGAACUUGUUAUCAGAUGAUCUGGCCUAGCUAACAUGUUUCUUGCUUUUCUUGUGUUUGGUUUUUUUCUUAAAUCUCAGAAGAGCAGAGGAGGCCUGGUGGCUGCAAUGGAGAGUGAUGAUGUCAAUGACAAUAAGGUAGAGAAGUACAAUGAAACUACAAAGGAAAAGAGAAUGCUUGACUUCUCAGGGAACAAGCCUUCCACUCCAAUUCUGGACACCAUUAACUAUCCAAAUCACAUGAACAAUCUCUCAACUGAGGAGCUUGAAACAUUGGCUGAUGAGUUGAGGGAAGAGAUUGUCUACUCUGUUUCAAAGACAGGUGGUCACCUCAGCUCAAGCUUGGGAGUAGCUGAACUCACUGUGGCCCUCCACCAUGUUUUCAACACCCCCGAGGAUAAGAUCAUUUGGGACGUUGGCCAUCAGUCAUACCCGCACAAGAUAUUAACAGGAAGAAGAUCCAAGAUGGGGUCAAUCCGCCAGACAUUCGGGUUAGCGGGAUUCCCAAAGAGGGACGAGAGUGAGCACGAUGCAUUUGGAGCUGGACACAGCUCCACAAGCAUCUCAGCUGGAUUAGGAAUGGCCGUUGGUAGGGACUUGCUCGGGAAAAGCAACCAUGUCAUUGCGGUCAUAGGAGAUGGAGCCAUGACUGCUGGCCAAGCUUAUGAAGCAAUGAACAAUGCUGGUUACUUGGAUUCCAAUUUAAUCAUCAUCUUGAAUGACAAUAAGCAAGUUUCUUUGCCAACCGCCACUGUCGAUGGUCCUGCACCUCCUGUUGGAGCACUGAGUAAGGCCUUGACCAAGUUGCAUUCAAGCCGAAAGCUUCGCCUGCUCAGGGAAUCGGCCAAGGUUCGAACUUUUUCUUCAUAUGAUCCUUUGCACUUUCCCAAUAACAAGCUCACCUUUUGGUUUGUUUCCUAAUUUGGUUGUUGCAUUGUCAUAAACAGGAGGUGACAAAGAAGAUUGGUGGGCCGAAAACAUAUGAAGUAGCAGCCAAAGUUGAUUCCUAUGUGAGAGGGAUUUCGGGCGGGGCAGGAGCAAGCUUGUUUGAAGAGCUUGGAUUGUACUACAUUGGACCUGUUGAUGGACAUGAUGUUGAGGAUCUUGUCUACUUGUUGAAGAAGAUUAAAACAAUGCCAGCACCUGGUCCUGUUCUCAUUCAUGUUGUCACUGAGAAAGGCAAAGGUUAUGCUCCUGCUGAAUCUGCAGCAGAUAAGAUGCAUGGUGUUGUCAAGUUUGAUCCUUUGUCCGGGAAGCAAGUCAAGACUAAGACUCCUACAAAGUCGGAUCUUCAGAAGCUUCCUGUAAGGUUCGCUAUCGACAGAGCUGGUCUUGUUGGUGCAGAUGGACCGACACAUUGUGGAGCCUUCGACACCACUUUCAUGGCCUGCUUGCCAAACAUGGUGGUCAUGGCUCCUUCUGAUGAGACUGAGCUCAUCCAUAUGGUUGCUACUGCUGCAGCCAUCGAUGAUCGUCCGAGUUGCUUUAGGUACCCUAGAGGCAAUGGAAUUGGUACUGUUAUUCCACAAAACAACAAAGGAACACCUCUUGAGGUUGGUAAGGGAAGAGUGCUGAGAGAAGGAAGUAGGGUUGCUAUAUUAGGGUAUGGAACAAUAGUACAGAACUGCAUUGAAGCUGCUGACAAGCUUCAAGUACUUGGAAUAAAGCCAACAGUGGCUGAUGCUAGGUUCUGCAAGCCACUUGAUGGAGAGCUCAUUAGAAUGCUGGCUAAAGAACAUGAAGUUCUUAUCACAGUGGAGGAAGGUUCCAUUGGAGGGUUCAGCUCUCAUGUAUGCCAUUACUUGAGCUUGAAUGGAUUGCUUGAUGGAAAGCUCAAGGUAACAAAAACAUAUAAUCAUAUAAGUCAUGACAUUUUGUUAAGUUGAUGUUUCAUGUGUUCUGAUGUUUUCAACUUUUGAUUAUGGUUGCAGUGGAGACCAAUGUUGCUUCCAGACAGAUACAUUGACCAUGGAUCUCAAACUGAUCAGAUUGAAGCUGCUGGGCUGAGUUCUAAGCAAAUUGCAGCUACUGUUCUUUCUCUUAUUGGAGGUCACAAGGAUAGCCUCCACAUUAUGGAUAUGUGAAGUCUCUCUGGUGUUUAACAUUCUUUUUGCAUGUACUUCAUUGAUUUAUAAAAGAGGUACCAAAUUCACCUUUUUGUCCAAUUAAUAUUAGCCUUUAGAUGUAUGUACCCAAUCUAACGGUUCUCACCGACGUAAACUUGCUAUAUCUUUGUGGGGUUAAACCAAUGAUACGACCAAACCUAUUCCGUAUAGGGUUGUUCACGAACCGAGCUGAGCCGAACUUUAUUGUGCCCAAGGUUGGGUUGUUUACGUUAAUGUUUAGGCGAGCUUGAGUUAGAAAAUAUUAGUUUUUCAGUUGUCAUGUGAUCGAGCCUAUUCGAGCCUCGCUUGUUAACUAAACUACCUUUGACGAGCCAAACUCGAACUCAACUAGAACUUUGGAUCAUUAAAAAUGUAAAUAAAUUUAUUUUGCACUGAUUUUGAAGUUUGUUCACUAAAAAAUAUCGACAAAUCAAGAAAAAAAGAAAAUAUCCUAAAAUUUAUAAACUUCUACUUUUCUAAAUUAAAAUAUUUUAACCUAAAUAAUGUAUCACUUGCACUUUCCAUUAACAUAAUCACAAAUUACAUAUAUGGUUUUUGAAGCAACAUGUGGCACAUUAUUUAAACCUAAAUAUACUUGAGCUCAAAAACCAUAUAUGUAGGCUCGAGAUCGAGCUUGAGAUCCAACUCGAAUACUAACUCGAGUAUAUAGGUCGUUAGUAAACUCAAUGAUGCAACAUAUGUUUUGCCUCAAAAACCAUUUUUGAAUGCAUCAUUGAGUCUACUAACGAGCUAUAUACUCAAAUUAGUAUUCAAUUUAAAUCUCAAGUUCAAACUUAAACCAACUCAUAAGCCUAUCGAACCAGGAAUACACUAACCCAAAUAUGCAAGUUGGUCAUUGAUCACAUGAUUAGUGAAAAGAAAGAUGUUUUNNNNNNNNNNNNNNNNNNNNNNNNNNNNNNNNNNNNNNNNNCAGCACCAGCAGGAAGAUGUUUUUAUAUUCAAUAAGAUUAUAUGGCAGCACCAGCAGGUAGACUUUUGUUGACUAACAGAUACAUAGAAAUUCGAUGAUGUAUAUAUUCAUCAUCCCUAGUGGGAGUAUGUUAGUGUAUUAUUUGUACUGUGUUUAAAUAUUUAAAAACCUAGUGUUCCAAUUUUGACUACCGCUUAACGUGGCUUACGUCCUUGAUCCACGUAGUAAUAUUAUUUAAUUGAUCAAGUGAUCCCUACCUGCAGGUGUCAAAUCGUGUGUAUCAAACAAACUAUCGCAAUAAUUGAGAAGCAAAAUAUAUAAGAAAAAUCAGGCUUUUAGAACGGAAUAAUUUCAUAAUUUUGUAGGUAUAUAAAUACUUAGGGAAAAUGUAACUAUUUAUGUUCGUCCAAAUUACUAAUAACAAUCAAUAAAAACAAUUAAACAUAUCCAAGCCCUCGGUUCGGGAGUAGCUGCAGAGCCCACCACCAACGAGCCAAAGGCAGCGGUUAGUCUAGCUAAGUGGUUGGAAAGUCAGGAUAGCUAUAAUACCAGUAAUGUGGUGGUUCCGAUAAGAAUACGUUGUCCAAUAGCUAGGUUUAUGAUUUUGAAUUUUACAUUUUUUAACUUUUGUUGUCUUAGGUUGUUGGUCUAAUUGUCAUUUAUUCGUGGACAUGAGAAAAAAAAUUAAGGUUAUCUUGUUUAAUUCUCUAUCAAAAUUCACUAAUAUAAAUAGUUAAGUACCACGUUCUCCAUCAAAAUUCAUUCACUAUCAAAACCAUGGGUUGUUUGGUAUAAUUCUUUGUAUAUGAAAUAAUUUUACUGCUACGCCCUGCGUUGAAUUUUAUAUGUUAUAUAAUAUUUAAUCGUCGUUACGUAAGCGUUACAUAAAAAAAUUUAGAACUUUACAUGUUAUGUAAAAAAAAUAGUGUAUUUGUUAAACCGCCAAAGUUUUAAAAAGAUCGGAAGAGNNNNNNNNNNNNNNNNNNNNNNNNNNNNNNNNNNNNNNNNNNNNNNNNNNNNNNNNNNNNNNNNNNNNNNNNNNNNNNNNNNNNNNNNNNNNNNNNNNNNNNNNNNNNNNNNNNNNNNNNNNNNNNNNNNNNNNNNNNNNNNNNNNNNNNNNNNNNNNNNNNNNNNNNNNNNNNNNNNNNNNNNNNNNNNNNNNNNNNNNNNNNNNNNNNNNNNNNNNNNNNNNNNNNNNNNNNNNNNNNNNNNNNNNNNNNNNNNNNNNNNNNNNNNNNNNNNNNNNNNNNNNNNNNNNNNNNNNNNNNNNNNNNNNNNNNNNNNNNNNNNNNNNNNNNNNNNNNNNNNNNNNNNNNNNNNNNNNNNNNNNNNNNNNNNNNNNNNNNNNNNNNNNNNNNNNNNNNNNNNNNNNNNNNNNNNNNNNNNNNNNNNNNNNNNNNNNNNNNNNNUGUAAGCCAAAAGAUGUUAUGGAGAGAAAACAAAUCAAAAGAAAGAAAUAAUUUAGUGAGAGAUUAAAUAUGGGGGCCAAAAUUUGAUUGGUGAGAUAAAGAAAAUAAGGGAUCAAUAAAAAAUCUUCGAAUUAUCAUGUGUCAAUCCAUUUUAAACGAAUCGAUAUUGUUUUAAAUUUAAAUUUAGAAGUAUAAGAAAUCAUCGAUAAUGUAACAUCGGUGGUAUGAAUUUCAUCAAUAUCGACAACAAAUGUUUACUCUUUCACCACAAAUUAAAACAAUGAAAAAAUAACAACUAAUAAGUAAUAACACCCAACCAAACCAAGAAAACCAAAUUGUUUUUGGAUUAAUGAAAUCUCAUCAAUAUCUUUAAAUUAAUAAAAUCAACCCUUAAAAUUCCUCCCUUGACCAUACCGAUCUCAAUAAGGUCUCUCCCCAACGUAGUUUCCAGGCGGGUCAUAGUUACAACUCAUGAACACCCCCUUCCCACCGUUACAAACAACCCGGGCACACCCAACUCGAACCGUACUCCUCCACACUAUCUGCGUGUAAUGUCCACACCCCUCGUUCCCUCCACCACACGAGUUGGACCAAUAGCUAUACGACUUUCUCUCUCCAAUCCAUGCUGAUACAGCAUGGGCCGGAGUCCACCCUGCUCCAUUUCCGCUCCCCCAAAAUAUAUUCUCCCCGUAGGGACCGUUCGAGUGCACCAUGGCACAAUCCACCCUCCUUUGGUUCGCAUACCACGUCGCGUAUCGUGCCAGUCUCUCGUCCCAACGUAACGGGGGCAGCUUCAAUGCUACCCUGACAGCAUUUUGCGGUCUCAUGAAUUGGGCGAUUGCAUUGGCAUAUGCCCUACUUUUUGGUGGUUUUGUGGAGGUGGUGGCUCCAUGAGCGAAUGCCGCGGUGUCGAGGAGGAAAAGGACUAGGAGAGGGAUUAUGAUGAGUAUGGUUGUGGCGAGUGGACGCCGGCCUGAGAUGGCGUACAUUUGGUAGCGUUGAUGAAUGGGUGGAUGGAAGUAUUUAGGUUUAGGGCCAUUGGAGGGUGUGUUUGGAGCCAAAGGGUUACUUAUACGUAUUUUUUUUCAAAAAAUUAGGGAGUUGGUGGGAAAGAAAGAAGGAAUUUGGGAGUGGCAAGCAUGUUCGAUAAUGAUUGCAACUAAAUUUUGUUUUUCUGCUACGGCAGGGUUAUUUAAGAUAAUUGUUAUUUAAGCUAAUUGUUAAAUGCACUCGUUCUUUAAUAGACUAAACUAUUCUUGUUAAAAGCAGUUUUACUAAUGUCGUUCAUUUUUUUUGUACAAACUGAUUCUGUAAUUUAACAGACGAAUAACCUAUCUUCAAUAAAAAAAUCUCAAAAUUAUAGGGUUGGUUUGGGGGCUCUUCUCCAAGCUCGUGAUCAGAACAGUCUGCAACGUCUGCAUAAAAUAAGGAAAGGGCUAAGUGUAUGUAUGAGGAGAUAUAUAUGUCUCCAGUGCAAAGAAUUGGAGGGGAAAAGUCAGAUGAGUCACCGCCACGAGCUAGGUUCGUUCAAAUCAACCCGAACUAGUUUAUAUAAAGGAGCAUCUUUGUUGGUGAGGAAAGUAAACAAUGUGCCAUCAUUUGCAAUGGCGUCAUAUUUUGCGUCGAAGGUAUCGACGAGCUUAGUGAAAUGGAGCAAACUGUUUCCUCUCCUCCUCCCCUGAAACUUUCUAGUCCCGCGGAGAUAUCAUAGUAAUCUACUUUGUUGCUUGUAAGAGCCCCAUCAGUAUAGGAGAAGGUACUGAAAACGUAUCAUACAAAACUAUGUUAUAGGGUUAUAAGUUCAUUCACAACGCACAAUUAAGGUAGGUUAGGCCAGUAGGCACCUUGCCAUCGUCUGUGACAGUGGUACUGAAUAUGUGGGUAGGGUUUUGUUUAUCCUCCCAACAGAGGAUGUCAUGGGAUUGAUCUGUACCAACAAAUGGUAGUACAGUUGCAGAUUCAGAUUGCUAUCGGUUUCUGUACCAGCAUCUGACAUUUCCCCAUCUCUGCAACAUGUACAGCUCAGAGCAUAAGUUUCAGUUCAUAACUCCUACGCACGUAGAGCAAAGUAAGUGGGAAGUGUGCAAGGGUACGUACUUGGGAGCAGGGUAACGGCCAUAGAAGAAGCCUUUGUUAUCAUGUGUCCAAUUGCUACACUCCCGUCGUCGCUUAGUUCGUUCGGAUCCAGCAACACCUCUCCCUUUCCUUCCAACCCAUCUUGUGUUACGUUGUUUUCCAAAAAUCGGCCAAAAUCACUAUAUUGUCUUGUUUGGCAAUGGAAAUUAUGAUUCUUAAAAAUGUUGAGUUGAUAUUAAUGUAAAACGCUCUGCAUAUUAUAUCUCAACGUAAAACACGCUUUGGGCUGAAGGCCGGUGUUGUGUGAAUAGAAGUACUUAUCCCCUCGCUUCAACGGUGCAUCGUCGUAGUGGGGAUAAUCCAUCAUGUUUCUUAUCUUUUCCUUAAGCUUAUCUUUCAUCUCGCAACUCUUCAACACUGAAUCACUCAGCUUCACUUGCUCUUCCACAAACUCCUUCGUUUCCUUCGAUUCUGGAUCUUCCAGCCUGCCAGUGCCCAUAUAUAUAUUUGAGAACUGCUCUGCCACAGCUCCUUAUACAUAAAACAAGUAAAAGAAAGGAAAGAAAACAAUACAUGUAUCCAUGCAUAUACUGGCUAAUUGAUUAACAUCUAAAGGGGUCAGCAACCUUGACGCCAUGGUAAUACUCGACGAUAGACUCAUCCUUACGAGCUGUUGGAUAACAAAAUCCACCCUGAAUAUCUGUUACAGACCACAGUUUGGAUGGAUGAGAUUGAGGAGCUAGUUGAUUUGGUUGCAAAUUGAUAAAUUACUGAAGAUGGAUAGCUUAUAUAUACAAGGAACACUGGGGUAGCACUAGCUAGUGAAGUGGAAUCAAUGGCGGUUAAAAAAGAACAAAAAUGUUAGUUAGUUAUGAGUUAUGACAUAGCAUCAAGGCAUUUGCCAUUUUCCUCCUGGUGGCUAACAGAAUUCUGAUCAAAUGGAUUCCAACCUAUAGUGAUUACUGUAUACAUGCAUUGAUAUCUCACUUUGAAUUUGAUCGCAUGAUAGACACAUCGGAUAGGUUGUUAUAAUCAUAUGUAACUCGUUACACAAUUUAAUAACAUGUUAAAUGACUUACUAACUCGUUGUAAUUACAUAUAACCAAUUACACGUUACCGUGGUAACUGGUUUAUAAUUUUUUGAAACUGGUUAUAAAACCUAAUAGCUUGACGUAGAUUUGGAUCUGGAGAAUUGGAAGAUCAUAUGUAAAUCUAGUUCUAGAUCUGAAGGAGAUUAAGUUGACGUGACGGCGGUUGCGGCAUGCCUGCUGGAGUUCAGCUCGUCUGAUCUCUAAUCUCCAGCUUCCUGCUCCAUUACUGUCGAUUGUUGUUCUAGCGGCGCGACUGCAUCUUAUAAGGAAGUAGGAGGUAGAGAAGCUGCUGAGCUUUGGUGAUGGCGGCUGCUACUUACUCCACACUGGUCGGAAAACUAAAAUACUUCCUAGAGAUUUACUUGACGGAUUUAGCCCCACAUUUUUCGUGACCAAUAGAUUAAUCAACUCUAUUUCAAUGGCUGUGGUUGAUCCUUGAAAUUUUUGAAAAUUUGCAUGCUUGAUUUAAAUUGGGAGUAGCCUAAGGUUACAUUAACAUUGUAGCUACUUCUUCUCUUGUCGUUAAUAUAUGAAUUAUAAGUUGAUCUGACAAUGUCAUUCUUAAAUAUAAAAAACAAAAGUAUACAGUGUCAUGCAAAUAAUUAAGACGACGAAGAAGAAGAAUCCAAAAGUCUUGCCAUCUGUAAAUAAUUAUCGAGUGGACACGUUAGUAAUAAUUUCAAGAAAUAUUAACCAUCCCAUGGACAACUACGUACGUACUUCACCUUGCCCGAUCUACCCUUGUCAAUGUACACUUAGUUAUCUUCAUGUAUGAACAAUUUUAUCUCAUCUAAGAACUGAUUAUCAAUUAGGUAAUUAGACUUAAAAGAUAUAGAAGAGAAACAAUAAGAGAUAACAUCCAUUAUCUAACAAAGUUCAUACAAGUCUUUUCAAUUAUAACAGUUUUUUAAAAAAUUAAAACUGGUCCAUUUUAGACGAAUAGGGCACAUCCAACUUUAAUAAGUGGCUUAAUUCUUUGUCCACCCUAAUACUAAUGCCUUACCAGUUUCAUUUUCAAAUAACUUCACCAAAAAAGAAGAAAGCUGGUGUGGGCUAUCCUCAACUUAUAGACGUCGAUCAAUGGUGGAGCUAUUAAAGAAAGUCGAACCCUUUAGUUUACAAAUAAAAGUCCUUUAAAAUUUUCAUAUUUUAGUAUUUAGGUCAUCAACUUUAAUUGAGUAUAUUUUAUUGGUUUUUUCGAAUCUGAUAACCUAUAAUAUAUGAAUAGAAAGGUAAUUGAAUUAUCUUUCCAACACCUCUAAUCUUGCACCAAUCAGAAUCCCGGCGAGAGAGUAAUGACCGAAAUAUUAAACUGGACAACAGAUUUUUAUCACAAACUUAACACCAAGUAAAAUAGAUUUUUAACUUCAUUGGACCAUUAUUUACAGGGUUACCAUAAUGAAACUUGAUUUUUAGUCAUUUUCAACGUGCAUGUCAAAUAUUAGCCGAAAUUGGUCAAUUUUUCUUAGUAUAGCACACGGAAAUUGACCAAUUUUGACAUGAAAAUUUUCAAACUUUCAAAUUGGCUAAUAUUUAGUAUGCAUGUUGGGAAUGUCUAAAAAUUAAGGUUUCACCAUGUUAAGCCCGUCAAAUAAUAGCCAAAUGAAGUUAGAAAGUAUUUUUUAAGGGUUUUAAUUGUUGUUGUCAGUGGGGAUGUAUGUACUUUCAAUUAAUAAAUUUUAGUUUGAAUUUCUAACUGUUUUCCACUAUAUGUUGUUAGGUACGAAUUUCGAACCUGUUUGUCAAUUUUCAAACUCCGCGCAAUAGAAGGCCUGAUCAGAAACAGCUCUGGCAAUAUUAUUGAUAUCUGCCCAAUGUCCAGUUUCGAUUCUCACAUUACAUGUCUGCUAGGCUAAUAUCAAAUAAAUAGAGGUAGAGAAGCUAAACGAUGUCUCUACAAGAAAUCAGCCGUUUUUUGCUAUGGAAAACUUGCUACAUACGAAAAUUCGUAGCAAAAUAUCAUGUUUUAUGCAACGGAAAACCUAGCCCGUUGCCAAAGAUGUCUUAUCUUUAUGCUACGGAGAAAAUUGGUUGCUGACGAACACAAUUUCUUUAUGCCACAGAAGCUUUCCGUAGCGUACGCAAGGCUUCAAUACUUUAUGUGACUGGAAGCUUUGUCCUCUGUGAGUUGCAUGUAGCAAUGCAUGUAUAAAGUAAUCACUGUAGAUCGGAAUCCAGUUGAUCAGAACUCUAUCAGCCACCAGGAGGAAAAUGCCAAAUGACUCCUUCAUGAUAAGUCAUAACUCAUAACUCAUACUAACUACCGUUUUUGUUGUUUUUCAACCACCAUUUCACUAGCUAGCUAGUGCUACCCUAGUGUUCCUUUGUAUAUAUAAGCAAUCCAUCUUCAGUAAUCUAUCAAUUUGCAACCAAAUCAACUAGCUCCUCAAUCUAAUCCAUCCACAAUGGGAUCGGUAACAGGUAUUGACGGUGGAUUACGCUAUCCAACAGCUCGCAAGGAUGAGUCUACCGUCGAUUAUUACCAUGGCGUCAAGGUUGCUGACCCCUUUAGAUGGUAAUUAACAUCUAUAUAUGCAUGGUACAUAUAUAUUGUUCACUUUUUCCUUUCUUUUACUUGUUUUCAUUUAUAUGUAUGGCACUCACUCGCAGGCUGGAGGAUCCAGAAUCGAAGGAAACGAAGGAGUUUGUGGCAGAGCAAGUGAAGUUGAGCAAUUCAGUGUUGAAGAGUUGCGAGAUGAAAGAUAAGCUUAAGGAAAAGAUAAGUCAGAUGAUGGAUUAUCCCCGCUAUGAAGGUGCGCCAUUGAAGCGAGGGGAUAAUAAAUACUUCUAUUUACACAACACCGGCCUUCAGCCCCACAGCGUUCUUUACGUUCAGGUAUAAUAUGCACAGCGUUUUGCACUAGUAUCAACUCUUUGUUCUUAGAAAUCAUAGGAUCAUAAUUUUUAUUGCCAAACAUGACGGUAUAGUAAUUUCAGUCGUUUUUGGAAAACAAUCGUAAACAGGAAGGGUUGGAAGGAAAGGGAGAGGUGUUGGUGGACCCGAACGAACUAAGCGAUGACGGGAGUGUAGCAAUGACUGCUUACUCCGUAAGCGAGGAUGCGAAAUACUUGGCUUAUGAGCUCAGCUACUGUGGCAGCGAUUGGGUCACCAUCAAACUCCUCUCUGUUGAUGAUAUGAGAUUGCUGGAGGCUGACACUCUUUCAUGGGUGGGCAUUCUAAUUUAUUAAUGCUAGCAGAGUGAUGAAUUGGUAUCAAUGCCAUCUUGAUAGAAUACCUAAAAAUAAUUAAGCAAACAAAAAAUAUAUAAUUUUACGUAUUCAUUUCCUCAAGGAUGUACUUGUGUGUUGACAGGCAAAGUUUACAGAAAUCAACUGGACACAUGAUAGCAAAGGCUUCUUCUAUUGCCGUUACCCUGCUCCCAAGUACGUACCCUUGCACACUUCCCACUUACUUUGCUCUACGUACGUCGAGGUUAUGAACUGAAACUGAUGCUCCGAGUUCACAUUGUGUUGCACAGAGAUGGAGAAAAGUCAGAUGCUGGUACAGAAACCGAUAGUAAUCUGAAUCUGCAAUUGUACUACCAUUUUGUUGGUACAGAUCAAUCCCAUGACAUCCUCUGUUGGGCAGAUAAACAAAACCCUACCCACAUAUUCAACGUCACUGUCACAGACGAUGGCAAGUACCUUCUCCUAUACGUCACUGAUGGGGCUCUUACAAGCAACAAAGUUUAUUACUAUGAUAUCUCCGCGGGACUAGGAAGUUUCAGAAACAGUAUGCUCCCUUUCACUAAGCUCGUCGAUACCUUCGAGGCAAAAUAUGACGCCAUUGCAAAUGAUGGCACAUUGUUUACUUUCCUCACCAACAAAGAUGCUCCUUUAUAUAAACUAGUUCGGGUUGAUUUGAACGAACCUAGCUCGUGGACGGAUGUCAUUCCACAAUCUGACAAGGAUGUGUUGGAAAAUGCAUAUGCGGUUAAUGGAGAUCGUUUGAUAGUUUGUUACCUCAGCGACGUUAAGAGUGUGUUGCAGAUCAGAGACUUGGAGACCGGAUCGUAUCUGCAGCAGCUUCCCAUUGAAGUUGGUGCGGUGACUGCGAUUUCCACAAGGAGAAAGGAGAGUUCAGCAUUUAUGGCCUUUACAGGGUUUCUUUUCCCUGGCAUCAUCUAUCAAUGCGAUUUCGAAUCUGGCACUCCGGAAUUGAAGAUAUUUCGGGAGAUGAGUGUACCUGGAUUCGAUCGUGCAGAGUUCCAAGUAAAUCAGGUAUGCUUUUCUUUUUGCUGGAUUUUGAUUUGAUUCCAAAAGAUGAUUCUUCUUUUGGUUCAAGGUUUUUGUGACUAGUAAAGACGGGACCAAGUUCCCGAUGUUCAUCGGGUCUACGAAAGGUAUAGAACUGGAUGGAUCACACCCAUGUUUGCUGUAUGGAUAUGGUGGAUUUGGGGUCAAUACUACUCCAGAUUUCAAAGCAGCUCGAAUAGCACUGGCGAAGCAUUUAGGAGUAGUGUUCUGCAUUGCCAACAUACGUGGUGGUGGUGAGUACGGUAAAGAAUGGCACAAAGCAGGCUCACGUGCCAACAAGCAGAACGUCUUUGAUGAUUUCAUCUGUGCCGCUGAAUACCUCGUAUCAGCUGGGUACACCACCCGGAAAAAGCUGUGCAUCGAAGGUGUAAGCCAUGGCGGCAUCGUCGUCGCUGCUU
rnacentral:lncRNA from 1 species